GGUUAAGUUAAUAAGGGCGCACGGUGGAUGCCUUGGCACUAGAAGCCGAAGAAGGACGUGACUAACGACGAAAUGCUUUGGGGAGCUGUAAGUAAGCGCUGAUCCAGAGAUGUCCGAAUGGGGGAACCCACUAGUUAAUGACUAGUAUCCAUAUCUGUUAAGGAUAUGAGAAGGAAGACGCAGUGAACUGAAACAUCUAAGUAGCUGCAGGAAGAGAAAGCAAAAGCGAUUGCCUUAGUAGCGGCGAGCGAAACGGCAGGAGGGCAAACCGAAGUGUUUACACUUCGGGGUUGUAGGACUGCGAUAUAGGAUUAAUCAUUAUAGAAGAAUUACCUGGGAAGGUAAGCCAAAGAGAGUAACAGCCUCGUAUUUAAAAUGAUAGAUUAACCUUAGCAGUAUCCUGAGUACGGCGAGACACGCGAAAUCUCGUCGGAAUCUGGGAGGACCAUCUCCCAACCCUAAAUACUCUCUAGUGACCGAUAGUGAACCAGUACCGUGAGGGAAAGGUGAAAAGCACCCCGGGAGGGGAGUGAAAUAGAACCUGAAACCGUGUGCCUACAACAAGUUCGAGCCCGUUAAUGGGUGAGAGCGUGCCUUUUGUAGAAUGAACCGGCGAGUUACGAUAUGAUGCGAGGUUAAGUUGAAGAGACGGAGCCGUAGGGAAACCGAGUCUUAAUAGGGCGUCAUAGUAUCAUGUUGUAGACCCGAAACCAUGUGACCUACCCAUGAGCAGGUUGAAGGUGAGGUAAAACUCACUGGAGGACCGAACCAGGGCACGUUGAAAAGUGCUUGGAUGACUUGUGGGUAGCGGAGAAAUUCCAAACGAACUUGGAGAUAGCUGGUUCUCUCCGAAAUAGCUUUAGGGCUAGCGUCGAUGUUAAGUCUCUUGGAGGUAGAGCACUGUUUGGGUGAGGGGUCCAUCCCGGAUUACCAAUCUCAGAUAAACUCCGAAUGCCAACGAGAUAUAAUCGGCAGUCAGACUGCGAGUGCUAAGAUCCGUAGUCGAAAGGGAAACAGCCCAGACCACCAGCUAAGGUCCCAAAAUAUAUGUUAAGUGGAAAAGGAUGUGGGGUUGCACAGACAACUAGGAUGUUAGCUUAGAAGCAGCUAUUCAUUCAAAGAGUGCGUAAUAGCUCACUAGUCGAGUGACCCUGCGCCGAAAAUGUACCGGGGCUAAAACAUAUUACCGAAGCUGUGGAUGACACAAAAGUGUCAUGGUAGGAGAGCGUUCUAUGUGUGAAGAAGGUGUACCGUGAGGAGCGCUGGAACGCAUAGAAGUGAGAAUGCCGGUAUGAGUAGCGCAAGACAGGUGAGAAUCCUGUCCACCGUAAGACUAAGGUUUCCAGGGGAAGGCUCGUCCGCCCUGGGUUAGUCGGGACCUAAGGAGAGACCGAAAGGUGUAUCCGAUGGACAACAGGUUGAUAUUCCUGUACUAGAGUAUAUAGUGAUGGAGGGACGCAGUAGGCUAACUAAACCAGACGAUUGGAAGUGUCUGGUCAAACAGUGAGGUGUGAUAUGAGUCAAAUGCUUAUAUCUUUAACAUUGAGCUGUGACGAGGAGCGAAGUUUAGUAGCGAAGUUAGUGAUGUCACACUGCCAAGAAAAGCUUCUAGCGAUACAUAUACUCUACCCGUACCGCAAACCGACACAGGUAGUCGAGGCGAGUAGCCUCAGGUGAGCGAGAGAACUCUCGUUAAGGAACUCGGCAAAAUGGCCCCGUAACUUCGGGAGAAGGGGCGCUGAUUUUAGAUCAGCCGCAGUGAAUAGGCCCAAGCAACUGUUUAUCAAAAACACAGCUCUCUGCUAAAUCGUAAGAUGAUGUAUAGGGGGUGACGCCUGCCCGGUGCUGGAAGGUUAAGAGGAGUGCUUAGCGUAAGCGAAGGUAUGAAUUGAAGCCCC
rnacentral:rRNA from 1 species